AUGGAUUAUACGAAUCAUAACAUCAUUGUGUGGAAUAUCCGUGGGCUGAACAGUGCGGCUAGAGGGGCGACCCCGAGAAGCGUCGUUGAGGAUGCGGCGGCCUCGGUGGUUUGCAUCCUAGAGUCCAAGCUUGCGGUGGUGGACCAACGCGUGGUUACCUCUCUGUUGGGUAUGAAGUUUGAUGCAUACGUGGCCCUACCUGCGCAGGGCACGGCAGGCGAGAUUAUUGUGGCGUGGGACUCUUCUGUGCUGACGGUGCCUGCCUUCCGUAUAGACCAAUUCUCAGUCACGAUUGAGAUGGCCUUUGGGGGGGCAACCAGUGGACCCUGA
rnacentral:rRNA from 1 species